GCAAUAAAACUAGCCCAGCAACCUACACAACAAACCCUACAACAAAAACAAACCAUUUGCCAAAAUUAGUAUAUGCGAUAGAAAACACCCUCCAGGAGCCAUAGCAACAGUACCGCAAGGAAAAGUUGAAAGAACAAUGAAAUAGACAAAGCAAUAAAUAGCAAAGAUAAAUGCUUGUACCUUUUGCAUCAUGAUUUAGCCAGACGCCUCAGACAAAACGAAUUUUUAGCCUGCACGCCCGAAACCAAGUGAGCUACUUCAGAGCAACUACAAGAGUGAACCCGUCUCUGUGGCAAAAGAGUGGGAUGACCCUGAAGUAGAGGUGAAAAGCCAAACGAACUUGGUCAUAGCUGGUUGCUCAACAAACGAAUUUUAGUUCAACUUUAGAUUUACUCCAAGCCAAACAUACUAAACCUUUAAUCUAAAAGAUAAUCAACAAGGGUACAGCCUUAUUGAUACAGGAUACAACCUAAAUUAGAGAGCCAGCACACAACCAUAAUCAGUAAGCCUUUAAGCAGCUACCAAUAAGAAAAGCGUCAAAGCACAAAACAAUAAAAUACCAAACAGACACGCAAACUCCCAACCAAACAUUGAGCCAUACUAUAACAAUAGUCGAACUUAUGCUAAAACUAGUAACAAGAAAACUUCUCUAAAGCAUACCCAUGUAUCAGUAAUAGACAGCCUACUGAAAAUUAACAGACUAAAACAAGCCUAAUAACACAGAUAUUAACACAAACUGUCACACCAACACCGGGGUGCUAUAAAGAAAGAUUUAAAGCUGCAGAAGGAACUCAGCAAACCCUGUCCCAACUGUUUACCAAAAACAUAGCCUUUAGCAACAUAAGUAUUAAAGGUCCCGCCUGCCCAGUGAAAUUAUUUCAACGGCCGCGGUAUUCUAACCGUGCAAAGGUAGCGUAAUCACUUGUCUCCCAAAUAGAGACCAGUAUGAAUGGCUAAAUGAGGAUAGACCUGUCUCCUGCAACCAAUCAGUGAAACUGAUCUUCCAGUACAAAAGCUGGCAUAUUCACAUAAGACGAGAAGACCCUGUGGAGCUUAAAACCAACAACUAAUAGAACACCACCUAGUAUAAAGUUUUAAGUUGGGGCGACUUCGGAACAAAACAAAACUUCCGAGCACAGAACUACUAAUUCUUACCAAGGCCAACAAGCCAAAGCACAAACUGACCCAGUCACACUGAUUAACGAACCAAGUUACCCCAGGGAUAACAGCGCCAUCUUCUUCAAGAGUCCAUAUCGACAAGAAGGUUUACGACCUCGAUGUUGGAUCAGGACACCCAAAUGGUGCAGCCGCUAUUAAAGGUUCGUUUGUUCAACGAUUAAUGUCCUACGUGAUCUGAGUUCAGACCGGAGCAAUCCAGGUCGGUUUCUAUCUAUGACGCCUCCCUCCUCAGUACGAAAGGACCAGAAAGGAAGGGCCCAUACUAACAGCACGCCCUAACAUACAUAACUGAAUCAAACUUAAGUUAAACACAGCAAACCUCAGCCAAAGACAACGGCUU
rnacentral:rRNA from 1 species